rnacentral:lncRNA from 1 species
ACACACCAGCUACUAAUCAAUUCCAUAAGAAAAAACAGCCACAACAUUUAGUAGGCAUUAAGCAAUUGAAGUGGAAAAAACCUGGAGGCUGAGGCCGAAAUAUGCUUAAGCCAUAUUCAGUAGGCUUUCCCUAAUCAUCUAGCCAUAUUCAAUCCAAACCUCCAACCGAUAAAUUUACAUUUCCAAUCACUUAAGCCCCCGAAAUAUGCUUUCACAUUUGCAACCAAAUCAAAUUGGCUACAAGCAAUUAUUCCAAGCACAUUAAGUCAACUAAAUGCAUUCACAAGCCAUUACCACCAUUUAAACAAAGCACACAGCCACUACCCGGAUGAAAAUGAAAAGAGCCAACUACCCAAAGCACA